AUUACGUUGAUAUGCAAUCACUAUGAAUGAGUCUAAGUCUUCUUUAAUUACAUUUCCUGUUUUUCUCAACUGCAAAUGCUGUUUUUUUUUCACAUGGGAGAUUCGUGGUGCUCUGAAAUAACGUUAUGCUGCACAGUUAUCUCAUACUUGCAAUAUGCACGCAUGAAAGCAGGUGUCAGAAGGACUGGACAGAGAUGUAAAUAUGUGUAGCUAAACACACCACCAGGCAAUGCAAGCUGGCAGUAUGAAUGAUGGUCAUUACUCUCACCACCGAAGCUGCAAAUGCCUCAUUCCAGGAAGGAGCCGUAUGAGAUUUUUCAGCCCUCAAUCCCUGCCAUUUCUUUGGAGAAGAGAGAGACAUUAAAUUGAUGUUGAAAAGGUAAUAACGUUGAGUAUUUUUUCCUGGCACACCAACAUCCCAUUGAGUGAAUCUGACAGACAUGUGAGACAUGGGAGAAUAGCUGGAUGCUGGCUGUAAAGACCGGUGAUGCUUUUCCUCCCCACAAUUUAGCAGAAUGUUCAGUUGUUCUCAACAAAUACCACACCAUUUGUCAUCACUUAUCAAACCAAUUACCAUCAGUGCAGGAAAAAGCAGCACACGACUCGGGAGAAUGAAUGUGAAAAUGAGAUGCUGCAUUUCUUGUAUUUUUCUGGGUUGUUUUUUUUGUUUUUUUUUUACAUGUUCAGACGCACAAGACAUUAUUGCUAUUGUUGUUUCAAAGCCUGAGAGAAGCCGAAACGGAGUUUUCAGCCGUCUUUUUAGAUGCUCUUUUUAGAAACUGAGGCUUGACAUCAAUGCACUGUUAUGCAAGACAAAUAAUGAGUGUUUAAUGUGAAAUUUAGUGUUUUAUUGACUGUAAUGUUGCACGUAAUGUGAAAAUGAACAAAAUAUGUGAAGAAAUAUGUGAAGAAACUUGUCAUCUAGUUUAAUGCAAUUUCUUCUGCAUUUGCAUAUGUUUACAUGACAUUUAUAUGCUUUCGGGGCUUCGUGAUAUUUUUGAAAUCACAUUUACAAAUCACCUCUUUGUUUAAAUCACUUAGCAAGGUUAUUCAAUAUUUUUCAUCUGAGGAAAAACACUGUUAAUAAAUGGCAACCAAUUUUACACAGAACAACGCGGGUCUAUAUUCUGAGCUUGCUCUAUAUGUGGAAAGGUUGUAUGUAAUGACUUUUUUGUGGUUCCAGUGAAAGCUGUGUGAAGUUUGAUAAAUGGCCUCAAAUGUCAGCAUCGUUUGGAGUUGAAGACUAAAAGAAAAAAAAAUGGUCUAUGAUGUCAGGCGGAAGUGAGACCUCUAUAACACACCUCUCUGGCUCUUGGCUUGAGGCUGCUACUAGUAAAAUACACCUGACUUAAACAAACAUGCUUGAACACUGGCGUGCUGGUAACAUUUGGCACAAAGGAGCAGUAAGUGCAUAUGUGAUAAGAUGAAAUGGUAUAUGAGAAUAAAAAACAUUUUUAAUAGCUAGGAAAACCAGCAAACAGCUCAGGAGAGGGAAUGUGGGCAAACAUGUACAUAAAACCAUAACUGACAUACACCAUUUUUGCAUUAUAUUUGUGUUUCUUUAAUGUUAGCACUCUCUAAUACAACCAGUUGGGGAGUAACAGAACACGUGUUACACAUUUAAAAUACAAAAUAUGAGUAACUGUAUUUCGUUACAGUUGCCAU